AUAUAUUGCAACAAAAAUUAUGAUUGACAACACUGAUAUGUAAAUAUUGUAUGACAGAUUUAUACACUAAUCACAAUCAUAUACAUGUGCUAACAACUGGUAUAAAAAUAUCAUCGAAAGUCCAUAAGUUCACAAGCAUUUCUGGUUGUACGUUUUUUUGACACUGGUUCCUAAGGUUACAAUGACUGAUUUGCAUAUAUGUUAAUCUUACAAUGUAAUGAAUAAUCAAAAUUACAAUUUACUUAAUAUGUUGAUUUUUAGUAAAAUUAUGAAUCUUUCAACAGCAAUUUUGUAAAUGCCAAGUAGAAUGAUAUACAACUAUAUCAUUCACAAGACUAUGAAUACCAAACUCCAGUAAAAAAUAUCACAUUAAACUGAUAAUAUAGCAGUCAAUAGAACAUGAAGACAGAUAAUUUUUCAAAGCUUAAUUCCAAACAGUCUGAGCAUAUUUGUGUUUUGGACGGAUGGACCCUGAGUGGUCGCUUAAACUAACCUAAUCACAAACUUUUAAAUGUCAACUACAGAAAAAAAAAUUCGAAGCCAAUAAACCAUGUCAGACAGGCUAAAUAAUUCAAAAGCGAAGAGAAAUGAUAUGCUACUGUUUCAUACAGAUUCAUCAUAAGUGGAUAAAAGUUUCAGAGUUGAAUAGACUAUGACUUAGAGAGCUAGGGCCACACAAUCUUCAUGGAAAUGAGAUGUGCCAAUGCAUCUUCAACUGCAUACCAAAUAUCAUUGACAUACCAUUUGUAGUUCCUCAUAAAGUGACCUUAUAAAAAAUCUUUAAAAAUAGUUGAUGCUGCUAUUAAUACUGAAAACAGCAAGCUGAAGUCAGCUUUUUCAAUUUUUUUCAGUGGAGACAAAAAAUUGAGUUCAACCCCUUACAUAUGAUACUGCAAAAUUUCCAUGCAUUCCAUUUCAAAUUAUCAGGAAAACAAGUGCUCUCAUUAAAACCAACUGAGUGUUGUCAUCAAGCUUUAUGUUGAAAUGAUAUGGAUGGACGCACAGAAAAAGACAUACUACAUAAAUAGAACACAUUUGUAUAUUUUCAAAAUAAAAUGCUUAUAAUAACAUUAACGGUACCAAUUUUCCUGCACCAGAUGCGCAUUUCGACAAUACAUGUCUCUUCAGUGAUGCUCGUCUACGACUUUAACUACUGGUAAAAAUAUUCGUGGCAUGAAACCCUCAAUUAAUGAUGUCAUCUAGACCAGUUAAGAUUUUCUGUUAGGGUCUUUGUGGAAAUAUUUU
rnacentral:lncRNA from 1 species